UGUAGGGUCGCAGUUGAUAAUGGCUCAGGCAGGAAAGCCACUUUGAUUAAGGUAGAUAGUGCAAUAAGUGUGGAAGCUUGCUACAAGUGGUUCAGGUUCGGAAAUUUGAGUAUCAUUAUAAGAAGGGCUUCCAUUUCUGCAGAUGGGGAUUGGUUCAUGGAUGUGUUUCUUCAUCACUGAUCGAUAGGGGAAUAAGCUCUGUGAUGAUGGAAUAGCUGAAUGCGUUCAACAGGGUGGUAGCUUACAUGGAAAAUAUGUUGAUGCGACACCAUUUGCUAAUUCAGAGGAGAAAGUUAAUGAAGAAACUAUUGGAGAGAAAUCCAAAACCCUUGUUGAUGAACUUGGUGAAAUGUUAAAGGUUAAAGGGUUUAAUUACCAUGGUGCAGAGGUAUUGUACAGUGGCGUCUAUGGAACAGAACUCACGUGUGAAAUUUUUAUUGGUCCUGUUUACUAUCAACGAUUACGGCAUAUGGUUUCAGACAAAUUUCAGGUUCGCUCUACGGGAAUGGUAGAUCAAGUCACACGCCAGCCUAUCAAAGGACGAAAACGAGGUGGCGGUAUACGUUUUGGUGAAAUGGAGAGAGACUCCUUGCUUGCACAUGGGGCAGCAUAUUUGUUGCAUGAUGGACUUCAUAUAUGUUCUGAUUAUCACGUUGCUGACGUAUGUUCCCUUUGUGGAUCCAUCCUAACAACCUCAUCAGUCCAACCACAAAUACGGGUUCGUGAAAUGCGGGGCUUGCCCCCUAUGAGAGCUCCCAAGAAGGUGACUUGCCAUGCAUGUAAGUCGAGUAAAGGGAUGGAAACGGUUGCAAUGCCUUAUGUCUUUAGACAUUUUAUGAGGAUGGUUUCAUCAAAUGACAUUUUUUUUUAAUUAAAAAGACAUAUUUACUAAACAAUAAGAUAAAUAAAUAUCUAAAGAACUCAAAAACUUCAUCUCUUCCAA